rnacentral:rRNA from 1 species
AUUGAACGCUGGCGGCAGGCCUAAUACAUGCAAGUCGAACGAGUGGCGGACGGGUGAGUAAUGUCUGGGAAACUGCCCGAUGGAGGGGGAUAACUACUGGAAACGGUAGCUAAUACCGCAUACCCUCGGAUAUGCCCAGAUGGGAUUAGCUAGUAGGUGGGGUCACGGCUCACCUAUGCGACGAUCUCUCGCUGGUCUGAGAGGAUGACCAGCCACACGUGAACGUAGACAAGUGCCAGACUCCUACGAGAGGCCGCCGUGGGGAAUAUUGCACAAUGGGCGCAAGCCUGAUGAAUCCAUGCCGCGUGUAUGAAGAAGGCCUGCGGGUUGUAAAGUACUUUCAGCGAGUAGGCGUUACUCGCAGGAGAAGCACCGACUAACUCCGUGCCAGCGGCCGCGAUAAUUC